UCUCCUGUAGCUCAGUGGUAGAGCGUCCGACCGGUGCACGCGGAAGGUCAUAAAUUCGACUCCUGUUGGGGGAA
rnacentral:tRNA from 1 species